GACGAACGCUGGCGGCGCGCUUAACACAUGCAAGUCGAGCGAAGCGGCGGACGGGUGAGUAUCACGUGAGUAACCUGCCUUAGACAUUGGGAUAGUCUCGGGUAACCGGGAUUAAUACCAAAUGGUCUAAGAUGGACUCGCGUCCCAUUAGCUAGUUGGUGGGUAACGGCCCACCAAGGGGACGAUGAGUAGCCGGCCUGUGCGGCUGAACGGCCACGUUGGACCUGGGAAACGGUCCGGACUCUACGGGAGGGAGCAGUGGGUGAUAUUGCACAGUGGAGGGAACUCUGAUGCCGCGACGCCGCGUGAGCAAAGAAGGCUUUCGAGUCGUAAAGUACUUUUAUAUGGGAAGCGGUACCAUAAGAAAAAGCCCCGGCUAACUACGUGCCAGCAGCCGCGGUAAUUC
rnacentral:rRNA from 1 species